AACGCGAAGAACCUUACCUACCCUUGACAUCCUCGGGAUCUGCUAGAGAUAGUGGAGUGCCUUCGGGAACCGAGAGACAGGUGCUGCAUGGCUGUCGUCAGCUCGUGUCGUGAGAUGUUGGGUUAAGUCCCGUAACGAGCGCAACCCUUGUCCUUAGUUGCUAGCAGGUAAAGCUGAGAACUCUAAGGAGACUGCCGGUGAUAAGCCGGAGGAAGGUGGGGAUGACGUCAAGUCCUCAUGGCCCUUACGGGUAGGGCUACACACGUGCUACAAUGGACGGUACAAAGGGAAGCGAAGCUGCGAAGUGAAGCGAAUCUUAGAAAGCCGUUCGUAGUCCGGAUUGGAGUCUGCAACUCGACUCCAUGAAGUUGGAAUCGCUAGUAAUCGCGGAUCAGAACGCCGCGGUGAAUACGUUCCCGGGCCUUGUACACACCCUGUA
rnacentral:rRNA from 1 species